rnacentral:rRNA from 1 species
AACUAACGCUGGCGGCGUGCCUAACACAUGCAAGUCGUACGAGAAAGUUGGCUUCGGCCGAUGAGUAAAGUGGCGCACGGGUGAGUAAUGCGUGGAUAAUCUGCCCUUUAGUUGGGAAUAACGUACCGAAAGGUGCGCUAAUACCUGAUAAUACUGCAUAACUACUGUUGUGUAGUCAAAGAAGGCCUCUGUUUACAAGCUUUUGCUGAAGGAUGAGUCCGCGUACCAUUAGCUGGUUGGUGGGGUAAUGGCCUACCAAGGCUACGAUGGUUAGCUGGUCUGAGAGGAUGAUCAGCCACACUGGAACUGAGACACGGUCCAGACUCCUACGGGAGGCAGCAGUGAGGAAUAUUGCGCAAUGGGGGCAACCCUGACGCAGCAACGCCGCGUGAGUGAGGAAGGCCUUCGGUCGUAAAGCUCUGUCAGAUGGGAAGAAAUAGGAUGGGGCGUAAUAUCGCCCAUCCUUGACGGUACCAUCAGA